GCGAAAAAGUUUGUUCGGACUUUUCCGUAAGAUAGUGCAGAAACCCGAACAAACUUUUUGGC
rnacentral:miRNA from 1 species